rnacentral:rRNA from 1 species
UAUGUGAUCGUCUCUCGCAUAUCAAUAAGCGGAGGAAAAGAAACUAACAAGGAUUCCCCUAGUAACGGCGAGUGAAGCGGGAAGAGCUCAAAUUUGAAAUCUUAAAGGGUUUCCCUUUACGAAUUGUAGUUUAAAGAAGUGUUUUCUGUUGAGGUUUUGGUAAAAGUUCUUUGGAAUAGGGCAUCAUAGAGGGUGAGAAUCCCGUAUUUGACCUUUACUUUCAACUUUGUGAUACACUUUCAAAGAGUCGGAUUGUUUGGGAAUGCAGUCCAAAAUGGGUGGUAAAUUUCAUCUAAAGCUAAAUAUUGGCGAGAGACCGAUAGCGAACAAGUACCGUGAGGGAAAGAUGAAAAGAACUUUGAAAAGAGAGUUAAACAGUACGUGAAAUUGUCAAAAGGGAAGCGUUUGACACCAGUGUUGUUUUUCUGAAAAUCAAUUAAAGAACUGUUUAUGCUAAGCUGUUUAGACUUUAUCAGCUACUGUUUAGUUUUGAGCUUUUCUUUAAUGCACUUUUCAGUUAACAAGUCAACAUCAAUUUCUUUUGCUGUAAAAAAGCUUGAGGAAGGUGGCUUGAGAUUCGUCUUAAGUGUUUAUAGCCUCUUGCCUAUGCAGUCGGAGAGAUUGAGGUCUGCAGCGUAGAUCCUUCGGGGCUAAAUGCAUUUGUGCUAAGUUAUAGCAUUUUAUAGACAACUUGUUGACUAUGAUUUGUCUUGUAGCUUACUCGCUUAUGUUAUUUUACCUACGCUUAGGAUGUUGAUCUGUAGUGCGUGCGC